rnacentral:rRNA from 1 species
GAUGAACGCUGGCGGCGUGCCUAAUACAUGCAAGUCGAGCGAACAGACGAGGAGCUUGCUCCUCUGACGUUAGCGGCGGACGGGUGAGUAACACGUGGAUAACCUACCUAUAAGACUGGGAUAACUUCGGGAAACCGGAGCUAAUACCGGAUAAUAUAUUGAACCGCAUGGUUCAAUAGUGAAAGACGGUUUUGCUGUCACUUAUAGAUGGAUCCGCGCCGCAUUAGCUAGUUGGUAAGGUAACGGCUUACCAAGGCAACGAUGCGUAGCCGACCUGGGAGGGGGAUCGCCCACACUGGAACUGAGACACGGUCCAGACUCCUACGGGAGGCAGCAGUAGGGAAUCGUCCGCAAUGGGCGGAAGCUUGACGGAGCAACGCCGCGUGAGUGAUGAAGGUCUUCGGAUCGUAAAACUCUGUUAUUAGGUAAGAACAAAUGUGUAAGUAACUAUGCACGUCUUGACGGUACCUAAUCAGAAAGCCACGGCUAACUACGUG